rnacentral:rRNA from 1 species
GACGAACGCUGGCGGCGUGCUUAACACAUGCAAGUCGAACGGAAAGGCCCUGCUUUUGUGGGGUGCUCGAGUGGCGAACGGGUGAGUAACACGUGAGUAACCUGCCCUUGACUUUGGGAUAACUUCAGGAAACUGGGGCUAAUACCGGAUAGGAGCUCCUGCUGCAUGGUGGGGGUUGGAAAGUUUCGGCGGUUGGGGAUGGACUCGCGGCUUAUCAGCUUGUUGGUGGGGUAGUGGCUUACCAAGGCUUUGACGGGUAGCCGGCCUGAGAGGGUGACCGGGCACAUGGGGACUGAGGUACGGCCCAGACGCCUACGGGAGGCAGCAGUGGGGAAGAGUGCACAAUGGGCGGAAGCCUGAUGCAGCAACGCCGCGUGCGGGAUGACGGCCUUCGGGGUGUAAACCGCUUUCGCCUGGGACGAAGCGUGAGUGACGGUAAUGGGUAAAGAAGCACCGGCUAACUACGUG